UACGUAGGUGGCAAGCGUUGUCCGGAUUUAUUGGGCGUAAAGCGCGCGCAGGCGGUCCUUUAAGUCUGAUGUGAAAGCCCACGGCUCAACCGUGGAGGGUCAUUGGAAACUGGGGGACUUGAGUGCAGAAGAGGAAAGUGGAAUUCCACAUGUAGCGGUGAAAUGCGUAGAGAUGUGGAGGAACACCAGUGGCGAAGGCGACUUUCUGGUCUGUAACUGACGCUGAGGCGCGAAAGCGUGGGGAGCAAACAGG
rnacentral:rRNA from 1 species